rnacentral:rRNA from 1 species
UACAGAGGUUGCAAGCGUUAAUCGGAAUUACUGGGCGUAAAGCGCGCGUAGGUGGCGAGUUAAGUCGGAUGUGAAAGCCCUGGGCUCAACCUAGGAAUUGCAUUCGAUACUGGCUAGCUUGAGUUUGGUAGAGGAGAGUGGAAUUCCCGGUGUAGCGGUGAAAUGCAUAGAUAUCGGGAGGAACAGCAGUGGCGAAGGCGGCUCUCUGGACCAAAACUGACACUGAGGCGCGACAGCGUGGGGAUCAAACAGG